CCGGAGCGGCCCCAAACCCCUGACAUGGUUGACUACAGAUGAUGCGCUUUCUCAGAUGGGCCAUGCUGGCUGUCUCAUCAGUGUUGUGUCACAGUGGUUCUGGUUCGGUCCAUGACUCCUGAAUCUGUCAGACCUCUGGAAUCUGUCAGCGCCGAUCACAAGAUUCCUGCCCAGCUCCGGCCUUCAGCUGAACCCAGCCGGGGGUCCUUUGCUGUGCGUGGUCCCCGUGUGU